UGCCAGCCGCCGCGGUAACACGGGGGGCGCAAGCGUUAUUCGGAAUUAUUGGGCGUAAAGGGCGUGUAGGCGGCGGAUCAAGUUAGGCGUGAAAGCCCCGGGCUCAACCUGGGAACUGCGCUUAAGACUGAUCUGCUAGAGUCCGGGAGAGGCUAGUGGAAUAUCCAGUGUAGAGGUGAAAUUCGUAGAUAUUGGAUGGAACACCUAUGGCGAAGGCAGCUAGCUGGACCGGUACUGACGCUGAGGCGCGAAAGCGUGGGGAGCAAACAGGAUUAGAUA
rnacentral:rRNA from 1 species